UGCGCCUUGCCAGCCCGCUCAGAAACUCAAAUGAAUUGGACGGGGGCCCGCACAAGCAGCGGAGCGUGUGGGUUUAAUUCGAUGAUACGCGAAGAACCUCACCCAGGUUUGACAUGCAUGUGGUACCAAGGUGAAAGCUGAGGGACCCUUCGGGGAGCAUGCACAGGUGUUGCACGGCCGUCGUCAGCUCGUGCCGUGAGGUGUUGGGUUAAGUCCCGCAACGAGCGCAACCCCUGUCGCCAGUUGUAUUUUUCUGGCGAGACUGCCGAGAAAACCUCGGAGGAAGGAGGGGACGAUGUCAGGUCAGCGUGGCCCUUACGCCUGGGGCUACACACACGCUACAAUGGGCAGUACAACGGGUCGCGAAGCCGCGAGGUGGAGCCAAUCCCAUCAAAGCUGUCCUCAGUUCGGAUUGCAGGCUGAAACCCGCCUGCAUGAAGCCGGAGUUGCUAGUAACCGCAGGUCAGCAUUACUGCGGUGAAUACGUUCCCGGGCCUU
rnacentral:rRNA from 1 species